rnacentral:lncRNA from 1 species
UGAGUGAGGUAACACAUUCACAAAGGAACUCACACAAUAUGUACUCACUGAUAAGUGGAUAUUAGCCCUGAACCACAUUUCUUGAGGCAGCAACGGCUCUCCACAGUUUGGUCCAUGAGGCUUGGGAAACAUCUAUAAUGUUUAAUUUAUAUAAUUCCUAAUGUGACAGUAACUGUCUAACAAAAGGACUGACAUCUCAAGCUUGGUGUCACCUAAGGACAUAUUUAGCAGAACUUAGUGGAAUUUAUGUGGAGGAGACAAUUAGUGCAGCAUUGUAAUUAAAAGGCUCCAUUGCUGUGAAGCCAUUAGAAAAGAUAGGACUUUUGGCCGAGGAUUUUGAGAUCAGAAGAGCAUAGAUGUGGACAUUCUUAUUCCACGUCUCAAACCCCAUUGCCCAUCCUAUGUGCUACCCAGCAGCCCUUCAGGGGCAUAAGGACCCUGGGAACUGAGAGAAGCCGUGUCUAUGGUCAGAAAUGCAAACUAGAAAUUAAAAUUUAAGAGGCAUUAUUAAUAUAAAUUUACAAAACUUCAGAGAAGUAUGAAUAACAAGUGUAUGUAGUGCCUUUUUAACAUGUGAUCAUAUUGAAUUUUCUCAGCACUCUUCCUUGGUGCUACGAUAAAAAACAAAGCUUUGCACAUACUUCAUAAUCUCUUUACAAUGUUUAUGCCCUAAUUUUUGGUAUAUAAUGUAGAAAUAAUAACCACGUCUAUAAAUUCUUAAAAGAAAUCACUCCCAGAAAACUACUGUUAUAAUUAGUGCUAUCAUCUCUUUAAAUCUCUCAGUCUUGAGAGACUGUCAUCCUGAUAGAAUUUGUAAUCACCAUACAAACAAACAUCUGGGAAUGUCUAUCAGGGAAUUUGUAGAUUAGGCCACUUGAAGAAGGGAAACUCAACCUAGCUGUGGGCAGCACUAUUCCGCGAAGAGGGGUCUGAACAGAAUAGAAAGGAGAAAGGCAGCUGAACAUCAGCAUUCAUCUCUCUUUGUUUCCUGGAUGGCGAUAUAAUGUGGCCAGCUGUCUCAAACUCCUGCCAUAGUACUGUCACCUUAAUGAUGGUCUGCUUCACCAGGUAAGCCAAAAGAAACUCUUCCCUUCGUGAGUUGCUUUCUUCUGGUAUUUUGCCACAUGGAUGACAAAUAUAACUACUAAAAGGGUUACCAUAUUUCAAGAUGUGGUUGAGGUGCAAAUAACCUACCUAAGGUAGUACUCUGCAUUGCCUAGAAGAUAGUAGUAUUCUCAUAUUUGUUUUUACAUUAAAACAGCUAAGGGGGUGUUAAAGUAAUGAUUCUUUCUAAGAAGCAUUCUAUAACCUAUUCUAAGAAGUAAUUAAUUCACUAUAAUUUAUAAGACAUUCCAAUUGUCUUGAGAUCUUUCUCCAAGUCUUAUAGUUAAAACAACCCUAUCAUAUUGAUAAACUAUGUAUCAAAGCUUCCAGUUACAUAAAUAUAUACAGAAUAAGUAUUUUUAUCCAGCCUGUGCAGGAGGAAUAUUUCCUCUAGUAAGAAAAAGAGAAUGCUAGAAUAAUGAAGGAACCACCUUCAAAAUUACUGGCAUUUUUCUUUGAAGUGGACAGCUUCUAGAAGCAUCUCAAUUAUGGAAUCAAUUACAAAACCGAAACUUUUAUUCCUACUUAUUAACUAUAAAGAGUUUAGCAGACCUCUUCAUUUUCUUGAAAGGCUGUAUGUUCUAGGCCAAUGUUUAUAGCUUUAAGGAACAUAAAAUAAUCAAGUAUGAUUUUAAAAAAGAGCCAACAUAUUCUCCCUGUUCACAAAGCUAUCAUGAUAAUCCUUUGGUUUGAUGUAAAGAUCCAAGCACAUGCUACCAGAAGAUUCAUCCCAUGGUCUUUCCUUCUCUUUACAUUUGUGUAAGAAUUCAGCAUGGUUACUGGAAGCUCAACAAGAAAAUGCAAAAAAAAAAAAAAAAAAAGAUAUAAGAAAGAGUCUUUUGUCAGGAUAAUUUGUGCUACUGUAUACUCUUGAAUUGCCUAUUUCUUGAUUUACUAUUAUUGCAAGAUGAUGUAUGGAUAUGUGAGUGUCCUCCUCACAGAAUGAAUGGUCAUGAGUUUUUGAAAAUGAACCCAUUAUUUUUGUGAUCGUCAUCAUGCAGACCCAGAGCCAGUGCUUACAUAAGACAGUGUCAACGACCAAAAGGGACAAUAGAGAACCUAAGCAGUAAUUCAGUGCCUGAGAGUCAAGUCUUCACAUGCUUGCUCACCAUUCCUAUGACAGUGUCACCAAAGCAAGCCAUGUGAGACACAAAGGGAAAACAUUCAUCACUGAGGAACACUAAGGAAAGAGGCAGCACACAUACAUACCAUGUGGCAUAAGCAGCAGGCAUAUCCCAGAUUACUAUCACUCCACUUUGUGCUACAUUUUCCCCCUGUAUUGUACCUUGACCCUUUCGACUUCCCUUGUUCCCUUCACGCCACACCCCUCACUCCCCACACACACCCUAAAGGCUGUGUCUCUAACCUAUGGCACUGUAGGGUUGUGCAAAAUUCAGGAGAAGUAGCCUAAUGAAAGAACUUAGGUCAUUGAAUAAAUGUGUUUGAAGAGCAUAAUCCCCCACUACACCCUGUGUCUUCUCUUUGGCUCCUUGCAGCCUUGAAAUAAGCAACCUGGCUCAAUAUUGGUUCCCUCUGCAUGAUGUCGUAGAUUACCAUAAACCCAGGAACAAAGGAACAGCUGACCUUGAAGAAUUCAGAACUGUCACAUCUGAAUUCUGCCAAUUCAAGGACUGGGAAGUUUUUUUCUAAUCUUUCCUCUUUUUAAGUUGAUUAUCUCAAAUACUAUGUUACAGCAACAUGAAUCUGACUAACCAACAUUAAAAACAAUUUUAUCUUAGGCCUUAAAGUUUAAAUGGUGCAACAAAACCUAAUAUUUCUCUUUCUUUGUUAGUAGCUUUAUUUUCUUUAUAACCCACUAAGUUUUCAUUUGAAAUAAAUUAAACAGCUGAGGGUCUGAAAUAAUCUACUGAGCUUAUAAGAAGGUCUAGUCGAAAGCCAGAGGCUGAACAUCACACACAGAGAUGGUGGUGAAGAAGACUACCUUGAAGCCUGGAGUCCCCUUUCGUGCUGCAGCUCAGCUGUUUCUUGGCAUCACUUGUAGAGAAGUGGGUACAGAAACUUAACCCAACGGGCCACAGCAGCUCUCAGACUGCUCCCACAGCCACCAUCUUGUGAUCUGCACACACUGCCUAAAGGCCUGAAGAAACUUCCCUGAUCAUUUUUAAAAAGACAGAUUUCGAAGCUAUAUAUCUUGCAUGUUCUUUAAGAUGCUUGCAUUAGAUUGAUUAUGCACAUAACAUGUGCUGAUUGUAUAAAGUAAAAACCUGCUCUGAAGGUCUUUAUCAUUUACGUUGAAAGGCUAUGAGCAAAAUGAAACAAAACAGAAAUGUUUGAGCAGCUGCCCCAGAUUCCAGCUUCACAUCUCAGGUUUGGUGAGAAGAGCUGCUGGUCCUAGCUGAUGUAGGUGGAGACACUUUCAAGAGAUCCUGGCUCUGCUGUCUCCCAUAUGAGAUUCUCAGAAUGAACACAGACUUCCUUAAAGCAACAUGUCCAGGCUGACUUCAGUCCUUCAUGUAGAAGACUCUCCCUGGUCUGAGAAGAGCAACUGUAUUUGAAUUUGCAAUAAAAGAGCUUCCUAUGUAGUUUCAACGAAAAUGAACUACUGGAUUAUCCUGGAGCCAAGGCAAUUACAGGAAAGUAGGUACUGGUGACAGACAGAGAGUCUACUGGGACCCAAUCAGUAUUCUGAGUUGGUGGUGAUCAGAAAACCUGAAAGAGCAUUGGAAGGAAGAAGAAGGCCAAGUUGAACUCAUCAACUCACUUCACUCACCAAUGGAUCAGGUGCUGAAGGCUACCAGUUAAAUGUCACUUAAGGCCUCCCUGUUCUGCGAGAACAAGGGUUGUAUGAACUUGGAAGCUGGAAUGAACCUCAACAUAACCAGAACAAACCAGACACACCAAAGACUCAUUAUUACAAAUAAUCCCUUGAGCACUCUCUUCAGAGUUAAAGCACUCCAUCCUGGACCGUGCCUCCUUUGAGGAUCAAGGAGUUCCAAGUUGAAGCAUUCCUUCCAGGAAGAGGUGGGAGGAUCAUGAGGUUCAGAAAGCCAACAAAAUUCAUAAGUAUGAGAAAGCUGAAGCGAAAUCCACAAAGACUACAGAACAGUAAACAGCUCCUGGGGGAAGAGACUCUCCCACCAGUUUAAGGGUCGGUACUGCAUGUUCAUGCAGAGAAUUCUAAGGAUAUAGGCUUCAUGAGUCACCACCCCCAGUGAUGUGUGGGUUUUCAGUGACUUGGCUGACAUUGAGUCAUCUCUGCUUCUGUAAGUAACCUCUUACCUAUACUGGGAAACCCCUAAUAAACUCAUAUAUUUUCCAAGUUUGACUUUG